CCUACGGGUGGCUGCAGUGAGGAAUAUUGGUCAAUGGGCGCGAGCCUGAACCAGCCAAGUAGCGUGAAGGAUGACUGCCCUACGGGUUGUAAACUUCUUUUAUAAAGGAAUAAAGUGAGGCACGUGUGCCUUUUUGUAUGUACUUUCUGAAUAAGGAUCGGCUAACUCCGUGCCAGCAGCCGCGGUAAUACGGAGGAUCCGAGCGUUAUACGGAUUUAUUGUGUUUAAAGGGAGCGGAGAUGGGUUGUUAAGUCAGUUGUGAAAGUUUGCGGCGCAACAGUAAAAUUGCAAGUGAUACUGGCAGUCUUGAGUACAGUUGAGGUAGGCGGAAUUCGUGGUGUAGCGGUGAAAUGCUUAGAGAUCACGAAGAACUCCGAUUGCGAAGGCAGCUUACUAAACUGCCACUGACAUUGAUGCUCGAAAGUGUGGGUAUCAAACAGGAUUAGAUACCCGGGUAGUC
rnacentral:rRNA from 1 species